rnacentral:rRNA from 1 species
UCCGAAGGGGGCUAGCGUUGUUCGGAAUUACUGGGCGUAAAGUGCGCGCAGGCGGUUCUUUAAGUCAGGGGUGAAAGCCCAGAGCUCAACUCUGGAAUUGCCUUUGAAACUAGAGAACUUGGGUACGGGAGAGGUGAGUGGAAUUCCGAGUGUAGAGGUGAAAUUCGUAGAUAUUCGGAAGAACACCAGUGGCGAAGGCGGCUCACUGGCCCGUUACCGACGCUCAGGCGCGACAGCGUGGGGAGCAAACAGG